GGAAAAUGAAACUUAAAUCCUCACCAUGACAAUAUCAUCAACUAAGGCAGCAGAGACAGACGGAACAAAGUAACAGACACCGCUAUAUCUCGGCCACCUUCUUCCUCCGCAGAUGCAGAUAUCCGAUAUAGGCGGAUUUGGUAGAUUGAGAAGCAGUGGAAAACAGAAAGGAAAACGCUGCACACUUUUCCAUGAGUUUGCCUACAACUCCAGCGCCUGCGGAAAGUGCUUGGACACACCCUCUUCAUUGAGUUGAAUUGAGUUCAGGAUCAACAACAGAGGAAAAGUACAACAACAUGACGACUUCAGCUCCUGAUAAGCCAGAUUGUGGGCCGAUGGUGAUUACUGUUGGAUUGUUGACGUUGGUCAUUGGAAUCGCCGUUGGAGUGAAACUGAAGGAGGCCACAGACCAGUUCAUUCAGCAACAUAAAUGGAAGCUCAUUGCCUUUGUCACUGUUUUUAUUGUUCUUUGUAUCAUGGCGGUUCUGAUCUUGAAGAAACAGGAAGUAUAGAGGGAUAUUAAAGAAGGACUCAUACAAUUAGCAAACACUUCUCAGUCAGUCACACACAACUAUUGAAUGAAUGACUGAUUUCUACAUUAUGUACAUUUGUUAUACAUAGCAAUAAAAUGUAUUUUCCAAAAUGCAUAUGUCCAUUGUUGAUGAAAAAGGGUCUGCAGAUAUCCUAGCUGUUGAGAUUGUUGGGCCAGUAAUUGAAAGGUCGCUUGUUUGAAUCCGCAAGCAGCCUUGGUGAAAAAUCUGCCGAUGUGCCCUUAAGCAAAGCCCUAAUUGCUCCUGUAAAUCGCUCUGGAUUAAGAGUGUCUGCUAAAUUACUGAACUGUAAACAACAUUUGGAAAAAGUGAUUUAUAGUAGGCUAGAUGUAUUUGUCUAAGAUUGCAUUUGUCAUCCUAUUUUAAUGUGACCAAGAUCCCUUGCCAUCCCUGGCCAUCUCUGUCCUCGUACUUUGUCAAUGUGUGUGAAUUGUCAUUGUAAGAGCCGUUAUUGAUCAGGUGAACAUUGACUUAAUAACAUGUUUUUGUAACCAGUUGCAUGUGUCACUUCAACUCAUUUGUUUGUGCUCAUCAACAUGUCAGUAUCUUCUGGGCUGAUUAAACCAAAUAGUAAAUCAAAUUUUAA